UUGUUUUGUUUUUUCCUGAGUUAGUCAUUUUCAAGAGAACUGAUGGUGUAGCUCUACCCUGAAGGUUGGCAUUCUUGGAACCCUGGAAGAAUUGAUGUUUUAGCUCAAUUCCAAAGGCAGGAAAAUAAAAAGCUGAUGUCCCAGUUUGAAGGUCAUUGGGCAGGAGGAAAUCUUUCUUACUCAGAGAAGUUCCAGCUUUUUGUUCUAUUCAAUCCUUCAACUGAUUGGAUGAAGCUCAUUCACAUUAGGAAGGAUAACUGCUUUAUGUAGUUAAUUUUAUCCAAAAAUGCCCUCACAGAAACAACCAAAUGUUUGACCAAAGGUCUGAGUGCCCCAUGACCCAGUCCAACUGACACAUAAAAGUGACCAUGACGAGCCAAGAGUUUUUGCUGUUUUCAUGUUGAUUUUUCAUGACAAGAGGAGAAGCUGUGUGAAUGCUUAUUUUGUUUUUUCUCUUUUUCUUCAACUUACAGUUCAAUGUGAUUAAAGGAUAAAGGAUGAAUGUGUGAAGACUGAAAAGACAAGUUCUGGCUAUUCCUUUGAGGGUCUCAUUUGUGAAGCUAAGGCAUGUGAACCUUCCCUCUGGUGUUAAGGACCCAUCAAGAUCGUUAAGUAAUGGAGGUGAUCAAAUCAUUUACUGUUUCACUGGCAUAAGAACCAACCCUUGAGAAGACUAUACAGAGGUACAGUGCAACUUUUUCUUCUAAAGGUAUUGAACUGUAAUAAACAUAUUAUGACUAAAAGAGACUUUAACAAAAUUU